CUGGCUCAGGAUGAACGCUAGCUACAGGCUUAACACAUGCAAGUCGAGGGGCAGCAUGAUCAAAGCUUGCUUGAUGAUGGCGACCGGCGCACGGGUGAGUAACGCGUAUCCAACCUUCCCCUUAGUAGGGCAUAGCCCGUAGAAAUGCGGAUUAAUACCCUAUGUUAUUCGUCGAGGACAUCUGAAAUGAAUUAAAGGUUUACCGCUAAGGGAUGGGGAUGCGUCCGAUUAGGCAGCAGGCGGGGUAACGGCCCACCUGGCCAACGAUCGGUAGGGGUUCUGAGAGGAAGGUCCCCCACAUUGGAACUGAGACACGGUCCAAACUCCUACGGGAGGCAGCAGUGAGGAAUAUUGGUCAAUGGGCGCGAGCCUGAACCAGCCAAGUAGCGUGCAAGGAUGACGGCUCUAUGGGUUGUAAACUGCUUUUAUGCGGGGAUAAAGUGCGGCACGUGUGCCGUUUUGUAGGUACCGCAUGAAUAAGGACCGGCUAAUUCCGUGCCAGCCGCCGC
rnacentral:rRNA from 1 species